AUGGGCACGGAGGUGGUGCCCGUGGUGGACCUUGGCGCGCUGUCCCAGUCGGAGCUCGUGGCGCUCGCGGCCGCAUCGCCCUACGCCGUCGACCCCCGCCGCGGGCGCCGCGACGCCGACCUCCUCCCGCCCCCUAAGAUCGAUCGCGCCGUCUUCAACGAGAGUGCCGGCUCCCGCAAGCAGACCUUCUCCCGCCGCCGCGCCGCCACCAAUCUCCCCCACAAUCUCACCCCUACCACCGCCUCCUCCUCCGCCGUCGCCGCCCCCACCGAGGAGGAUUCCGAGAACCGCCUCAUUGUGUUCCACCUCCAGCAGCUCUUUGCGCGCGACGACCCCUCCUAUCUGCCACCACCACCGCCGAUUCCACUCCAACAGCUACCCCCUAUACCCAUACCCGCACCCACGAUACCGGUGCCCGCACCCCCCGUGGCCUCCGUGCCGAUCCAGCAGCUCCCGGACCCAGACCGGGAUUUGACGAACCCGAAGGGGGUGGCUGUUGAUUUGGCUAGACUCGCGGAGUUAGUGGAUCCGUAUGGGGAGGAGAUACGGAAUCGGACUGCAGGACUGGCUCUGGAAUCCGAGCUGCUGGGUUUCAUGAAUGAGCUGGAGGGGCAGUGGGGGAGUCGGAGGCGGCGGAGGAAGUUUGUGGAAGCAGCCAUAUUCGGUGACCACCUGCCCCGUGGGUGGAAGCUAAUCCUUGGGAUUAAACGGAAGGAGCGUGCUGCCUGGAUCAAUUGCCGCCGCUAUGUUAGCCCCAGGGGGCAUCAGUUUGCUACUUGCAGAGAAGUUUCUUCCUAUUUCAUGUCACUUCUUGGAUAUGUGGAGGCAAAGCCAACCACUGUUCAGAAUAACGAUGUGGAAGUUCGUGACUUGAGUGCUGUGAAUACUGCAGGUCUUCACCAGCAAAAUGAUUCAACUGGGGACAUGCAAAGUGCAGUGUCAGCCACUUCUGUUACAUUGCCCAUUCACAAUGGUGAUUCUCAGGGACAGAGACAAAAACCUUAUAAAGAUGAAGCUCCGAUAGAAGCAGUCAGGAAAGAGUGCAAAAAAUGCAAUUUGACUUUUGAGGACCAGAGUGCCUAUGUGCAGCAUCAGUUGUCCUUUCAUCAAAGGAAAGCUAAAAGGCGCAAGGUUGAUAAAUCUGUUGGCCUGGGAGUCGGUAAAGAUGGAAAGCUUGAGACUCAGGAAAGUCAGAGGACCUCUGAAGAUAAACCUGGCUAUUUUGACCAUGGUGUAGCUGAUGUUAAAAGUCAAGGUCAGAGUCCAGCAGAACUGUUUGGCGGAGCUUCUUCAGGAGAUGUAGGUGCUCAACUAUCCUUGGCUGCGGCACCAUGUGGGUUGCAAGAGAUAACUGGCUUACCUGAACAGGCAGAAGAGCCUUCUGCUGGUGAGCCUGUCUCUGGGCAUCAGAAGGACCUUCCUCAGGAGACUACUGGUUUACCUCAACAGGAAAAAGCACUUUCUGCUACAGAGCCUUUUGCUGGACAUCAAAAGGAACAUGUUGAUAAUUCUGGUGACCAUGAAAUCCAUGAUGGAGCAUGUCAUAUAGCUGAAGAGCCUCUUGCCUUUGAUGUUGCAAGCAACCUUGGUACUUGCAAGUCUCCUGAACCAGAAGUUCAUGAGCAUGACAGCUCAAAAGAUUUGGAAUUUUCCAUCGCAGAUUGCUCAGGAAGUUUUGACAGGUCUCAUGAAAUCUCUAAGAUACCUCAGGAUGUUCCAUGUACUACAGAUGCUCCAGGUGAAAAAAGUUGCGCAGAUGAUCCAAUGGACUGUGCUGAUAUAACACUGCCAAAACAAGUUCCUGAGCACUGUGAUAUGCUGGAUCACAAAUUUAGAGGUUUUCCUGGAGAAACUGGUUUUAAUGACCAGGUGGAAAACAAUCCACUGUCUGCCAACUUGGAUGAGCCUGAUCUUAGUUCCAACAGCAUGGAGGUAGAUAACAGCAAGAUAGCUUGCAAGUUCGGCGAUGUGCUGAAUUCUACUAGCUCUGAAUAUGAUAAACCUGUUGUGGAUCAAACUGAUCGUGGAGUGACUGCCUUGAAAAAUGAUGCAAUCAACAUUGAUGAUGGGAUGAACAUUGAUGUCAGAAUAAAGGAGGUCAACCUCAAUUCGUGCUUAGAUACAAUAUCUUCUCCUGUUUCUGGUGCAAACUGUGAAACGUCUAAUGCCCUUCAUGAUGGCAAUCGAUCGUCCAUUCUCGCCCAAUGUUUUGGUGCUAGCUCUAAUGAUGACAAUGUUUGUCAGGACGAAAGUUUUGUCAAUCAGAACAAUGUUUCUAAGGCUGAAAUUUUCGUCAAUCAGAGCAAUGACAUGGUGUAUCAAUCCAAUUUGAACAUGAAUCCUGUCUCUCCUCCUCAAAUUAGUGUGGAUUAUUUCACUAAUUGCUCAAUGAAUUCUGAAAUUAAGAACAACGACAACCGACGUGAUGAUAAUGCCAAGGAACAGUUUGUGAACUCACGGAACAUAUCAAGUAAUGAACCAGGUUUUGAUGCUGAAGCUUACAACAAUGACAUCUUCACUGGUGCUAUGGCAGAAACUAGCUUUGCUCAGCUGAAUAAUGCUAUGAAUAUGAAGACUGAUUACUCAAGCUGCUACUCAAUAUCUGAUCUAAAUACGCUGACUGGUGGUACUGGAACUGAUGGAAUUGAUUUCCACGGUAUGAGGAGUUCUUUUGUAAGUGGCUCCACCAGUCGCAGUGAACCAAAUGAACUUGAUUUUGAUAUCAAGGGUUCCAUGCUUGAGGCUCUGGAAAGAUCUGACAGCGACCUGGAAACUCAGUACAAUGGUGGCGAUCCUGCCAUUGACUCACUCCCUGCGGCAGGCACAAGUGGGACAAGUGUCGAUGAUUUUAUGUCCAUGCACACCAAUUUUGGUAGCUUGACCUCUUUGGUUCGUUCCGUUGAAGGUGGUCCAAUGAGCAGACUUAUUCAAGAUCAGUGCGAUUUGCAACUUGGAUUUGGUGCACAGAAGCAGCAAAUAUAUCCUAGUUUUGAGGAGCACCUUCGGAUGGCCUCAGCUGGAGCACCGCAGUUCGGGAACAUGGGCAGACACAAUCCCAUGCCUGUGCCUGUGCCCGUGCCCGAGCCAACACUGAUGCUAGGCUAUGAGCCAACGUUGAUGCUGGGCUAUGCACCGCAGUUCGGGAGCUGCCCUCCGGUCCAGUUAGGUUGGGACCUGUCCAAGAUGGUUGGCGUGCUCCAAUCCGUAUGUGUGUGGUGCAACACAAGGUUCCAGCAUUUUGGCACGGCUGAGCAGCAGAACGACUCUGUUGGCUUCAUUUGCCCCGCGUGCAAGGACAAGACAUCUGGUCAUCUUGGCACACUCAACAAUGGUUCAUUGCUUUAG
rnacentral:rRNA from 1 species